rnacentral:rRNA from 1 species
UACGGGGGGAGCAAGCGUUGUUCGGAUUUACUGGGCGUAAAGGGCGCGUAGGCGGUCAGCACAAGUCAGUUGUGAAAUCUCCGGGCUUAACUCGGAAAGGUCAACUGAUACUGUGCGACUAGAGUGCGGAAGGGGCAACUGGAAUUCUCGGUGCAGCGGUGAAAUGCGUAGAUAUCGAGAGGAACACCUGCGGCGAAGGCGGGUUGCUGGGCCGACACUGACGCUGAUGCGCGAAAGCCAGGGGAGCGAACGGG